rnacentral:rRNA from 1 species
AUGGGUCGUAAGUACAUCAUUCAUGGUGUUACUAUGCGGCCUAACUUUGAAGAACUGGAGUGUAGAUACAUUCAACACACAUAUGAGUGUUCCUUCAGCGCAAGGACAUUUGUUGAGUCUCUCUCACUUCAAUUUCCAACAUAUCCCAAGCAUUUGAUGCCGUUCCAAGAAGUUCAGAGGUGUCCAAGAAACACUUUCGUAGGUAUGCAUUCACAUAUAAUACUUACUAACAUAGAGAUAAUCUUGGUAUAUAAUUUUGACUAA